rnacentral:lncRNA from 1 species
GACAAAUGUCUAAACUAAAAAUCUGCUGGAGGGAUCCCCGAGAUCCCCUACAGAUUUCGAGAUAUUUGGCAUUGAAGUGACCAUACUAAUUUCAACCUUUGCCAAAGUGGCGUCUAAUAUCUGCCACCAAAGCUUGGUUUUCACAAUGAAUUUUGAACGUUCCCUAAUUAGGAUCAUUUUUUCUUUACAGUAAGUGUUAAACUACUUUUGAAAGACUACUUAGAAAACUUUGAGAGUUAUUUGCCUGUUUUUACAGAUUUGUAGUAACAAUGCAUUACAGUUAUCGUGUUAUUUUACAGUCAAAUUUCCGUUUUGUUGUUUUUAUUCUUACUCUCGCUUGUACUGUAUAAAUUUUAUAUAAAAUACACUGUACAAAGUUAUGACGCCAUUUGAUCCUAUUGUGUGUGUAUAUGUACUGUGUCACUGUGAUACAUAUGUACAUGUUUUGAGUUAAACGAAUUGUUUAAUAACUUUUUGCUGAAAUAUCAUGCCUGUUUGUAUGGAUAGAUUUUUACAUAUAUGUGGCUGCAUACAAUAGUUAGAUAUUUUUCAAUUUUCAUCUGUAAAAUAUUGCCAUAUUUGUGUGUUGUUCUAGUAUUACUGUAAAUGGUGACACACUUUUGCAUUAGAUUGCUAAUUUUAGAGAUUACAGUGUAUGUAUAAAAUAGUAAAAUAAAAAUUUUGUUAUGAUUUUUGUAGAAAGAGAUCUACUUGAGUGGUUGGCUGGUCUUGAACCUGGUCAUGAUGGAUAUGGUAAUGAACUAAUGAAGGUGAUAAGGCAGAAAGUGAUGACCAGUUAAGUUAUGAGGAUUAAAGUGACGAGGAUGAAAUCACCCAUGCUGUACCAUUCAAGUGAAUCGGUGCUGCUCAUGAGAAAAAUUACCAACAUCAUUUGGAACAGGCAUGCCUUGCUCUUCAUGGACAAGAUAAACCAAUGAAUGUAAGAAUAUAGCCAGAGCCAUUGAAUCCAAUGGACCCAAGUGCAAUUGAUGUAGACUGGAUGGACACAUGUGAUGUUGGCUAUAUUGCUUCUGAAUUAUGCAAGUAUUUGCACCCACUAAUUGCCACUGGAGAUAUCUUAGAGGUCUAUGUUCAGUAUAUAAAGUAUAGGGUUGACUUUUUUUAAAUAGGAUUUUAUCUAAAAUUUUUCAUAAAGUGACAUGGUGAGUGGCCAGAGUGGGAGACUCAAGUGGUACGGAGGAGCAUGAGUGUACGUUGACAGAUGUUUGUGAUGAUAUAAUAGUAACUGACUAGGUUUAGCAAGUUAUAGAAAUGAUGUUAUUUAAAUUGUCAUUUUGGCUAACUUUUUAGAUUUUUUCAGCAUUUUUACCUUUCACUUUAUUGCCAAACAAAAAUAAUUUAAUUUACUGUUGAUGCAAUGGAAGUGUUGAUAAAAUAUUGCAUGAAUUCAUUUCCUCAAGUUGAUCAAUUCAUACGAAUUCUAAUUUCUUUUUACUUCCUGUGUGUUUCCUAUUGGUCAAUCGGUUCUGAAACGAAAUCUAAUUGGCUCAUUUAAAAGUAACAGGAAGUUUAUCAAUUUUCUAUCAAAUGAAUUGAUCAACUUGAGGAAUGAAUUGGUGCAAUGUUUUAUCAACACUUCCAUUGCAUUCAAUUUGACAGUAAGAGGUGGGUAUCUAUAAGAAAACAAUAUCUGUCAUGUGCACUUGUGCAACUCCCUCAAAAAUAGCAAUAUUGUUUUUUUUUUAAAAAUAAUAAUUUAUUAUUAGGACACCAAUAUGGUUCUCAUUAAAAAACCAUGUGCUAUAAAUAGAUGCAUCUACCUAUUUCGAGACUGAAUAGAAUUUAUUUUGUCAAGCCAUUUGAAAUUGCUGUGACUUUGUGUAACUGGCCUUUUGCAGGAAUUGAACCUAAACCCUAAAGCACCAACCCAUCCCCAACAAUAAAAUUACAUCUUACUGUCAAUUUCAAUUUGUCUUUGAAAUCUGACCACCAAUGUUUAUUUGUAUGUUCGGAAUGAAUGUUGUAAAGUUUGACUGCAGGUCGCUUUAAAUACCAACCUAAUUUUGUGAUGCUCUUUCAAGCUGUGAUGAAAUUUUUGUAUAGACUUGUUGAGAUCUAAAUUUUAGUCAAAAGGUGAAAGGUCCAUUAGAUCACAAAACAAGUACAGAGGUAGCCUGCAUGGCAGGUGGUUGCCAGGAGGAUCGUAAUCAAGAUUUUCGAUAGGGAUUAUUUAUAUAGGGAAUGAGGAGAUAAUUGCUGAUUUUACUUCGUAUUUUCUCUUUAAAAAUCGUAUAUUUUUAAGGUACGUGUCUAAAUUACUGUAAUAUGUGUAUCAUAUUUUUUUAUUUUAAUUUUGUUUGGUUUCUACAAUGGGCUUUAAAGGGGCCCUACAGUAAUUUUGUAGUCGGAAAGCCACCUUAAGUAGGGGACUCCACGGAGAUUCGUUUGGCUGUAUCUUACAUGCAGUUAGCCUCCUCCGCAGGCAUCUCUUAAUCGUCGAGAACUUAUAUAAUUUAGUUAUUCAAAUAACUGAUGUUUUUAUUGGGUUACCUUCUAGGUAAGCCCAUGAGAUUAUAGGUAAGCCCAUGAGAUGCCUGCGGAGGAGGCUAACAUGCAGUAUCCAUCAGUAUGAGUACUUCCGCAGUCCGCACACCGGAAGACGCAUUCAUGUUGUGGUGCGCAUGUGAAGUAGUGACAAUAACAAAAAAAUGUAAACAAUACUUAAGGUGGCUUUUCGACUGAAAAAUGACUGUAGGGUCCCUUUAAUAGCGAUAUAAUUUACAUAUGAAUAAUUGGCCAUGCUUUCAAACUGUAUAUAUUAAUAAAACGCAAAAGUAUCUUUCAAAUAUGCUGGGGUCUUUACUACUUUUUAAUACGAAAAGUGAUCAAAAAUCAGAUUAUUGAAAUUAGGAAGAGUUGCUCUUUCAAAUGAUACCAAGAAAACAAGAAGGACCCCAGAAACCAACGAGAAAUCAUGUUUUGAAAAUGGGAUGUUUUUGUCAUAUUCAUGCCGCUAAUGUAAAAUAUAUAAAUAAACUAGCCGCAUAAUAUAUGAAGUAAUAAAACAGACAAUAAGGCCAAAUAAAAAAAUAUGUGGGUUUCCUGUUUCCCGACCCUACCUCUUUUGGACGUCGAAAUCCCGACCCUAAACUUUUUUAUUGGAUCACGCUUGUAAGUGUUUCCACUUAGAGCAAAACGUUUGUGGAAAAUGAAAAUUUGAGGCAAUAUUACGGAAAUUUAUGUUUGGAUGUGGAAGCACUGACUAAACAAAAUGGCGUCCGAUUGUUAGGAAAAUUUAAAAAAAAGUUUUAAAAAAAAAGUUAAAACCGACCUACCCUACCUAAGUUUUUACAAGAGGAAACCGGAAACCCAC